rnacentral:rRNA from 1 species
AACGAACGCUGGCGGCAUGCCUAACACAUGCAAGUCGAACGAGACCUUCGGGUCUAGUGGCGCACGGGUGCGUAACGCGUGGGAACCUGCCCUUAGGUUCGGAAUAACUCCCCGAAAGGUGUGCUAAUACCGGAUAAUGUCUUCGGACCAAAGAUUUAUCGCCUUUGGAUGGGCCCGCGUUGGAUUAGCUAGUUGGUAGGGUAAAAGCCUACCAAGGCGACGAUGCAUAGCUGGUCUGAGAGGAUGAUCAGCCACACUGGGACUGAGACACGGCCCAGACUGCUACGGGAGGCAGCAGUGGAGAAUAUUGGACGAUGGGGGAAAGCCUGAUCCAGCAGUGCCGCGUGAGUGAUGAAGGCCUUAGGGUUGUAAAGCUCUUUUACCCGGGAUGAUAAUGACAGUACCGGGAGAAUAAGCACCGGCUAACUACGUG